ACUCAAAUGAAUUGACGGGGACCCGCACAAGCGGUGGAGCGUGUUGUUUAAUUCGAUGGUAAGCGAAGAACCUUACCAAGGUUUGACAUCCUAGGAAUUUUGGUGAAAGCCGAGAGUGCCUUCGGGAACCUAGUGACAGGUGUUGCAUGGCCGUCUUCAGCUCGUGUCGUGAGAUGUUUGGUUAAGUCCAUCAACGAGCGCAACCCUUAUGGUUAGUUGUAUUUUUCUAGCCAGACUGCCCCGGUAACGGGGAGGAAGGGGGGGAUGAUGUCAGGUCAGUAUUACCCUUACACCUUGGGCAACAAACGCGCUACAAUGGCCGGUACAACGGGCUGCCAAGUCGUGAGACGGAGCAAAUCCCAUCAAAGCCGGUCCCAGUUCGGAUUGCAGGCUGAAACUCGCCUGCAUGAAGCCGGAAUCGCUAGUAAUCGCAGAUCAGAAUGCUGCGGUGAAUACGUUCCCGGGUCUUGUACACACCGCCCGU
rnacentral:rRNA from 1 species